UGGGGAAUUUUCCGCAAUGGGCGCAAGCCUGACGGAGCAAGACCGCGUGAGGGAGGAAGGCUCUUGGGUUGUAAACCUCUUUUCUCUGGGAAGAACAAAAUGACGGUACCAGAGGAAUCAGCAUCGGCUAACUCCGUGCCAGCAGCCGCGGUAAGACGGAGGAUGCAAGCGUUAUCCGGAAUGAUUGGGCGUAAAGCGUCCGCAGGUGGCAAUUCAAGUCUGCUGUUAAAGCGCAGGGCUUAACCCUGUAAAGGCAGUGGAAACUGAAUAGCUAGAGUAUGGUAGGGGUAGAGGGAAUUCCCAGUGUAGCGGUGAAAUGCGUAGAUAUUGGGAAGAACAUCGGUGGCGAAGGCGCUCUACUGGACCAUAACUGACACUCACAGGACGAAAGCUAGGGGAGCGAAUGGG
rnacentral:rRNA from 1 species